GACGAACGCUGGCGGCGUGCCUAACACAUGCAAGUCGAGCGAGUGAAUCUCCUUCGGGAGUGAAGCUAGCGGCGGACGGGUGAGUAACACGUGGGCAACCUGCCUCAUAGAGGGGAAUAGCCUUUCGAAAGGAAGAUUAAUACCGCAUAAGAUUGUAGCUUAGCAUGAAGUAGCAAUUAAAGGAGCAAUCCGCUAUGAGAUGGGCCCGCGGCGCAUUAGCUAGUUGGUGAGGUAACGGCUCACCAAGGCGACGAUGCGUAGCCGACCUGAGAGGGUGAUCGGCCACAUUGGGACUGAGACACGGACCAGACUCCUACGGGAGGCAGCAGUGGGGAAUAUUGCACAAUGGGGGAAACCCUGAUGCAGCAACGCCGCGUGAGUGAUGACGGCCUUCGGGUUGUAAAGCUCUGUCUUCAGGGACGAUAAUGACGGUACCUGAGGAGGAAGCCACGGCUAACUACGUGCCAGCAGCCGCGGUAAUAC
rnacentral:rRNA from 1 species